rnacentral:SRP_RNA from 1 species
GCCGGGUGUGGUGGCGCAUGCCUGUAAUCCCAGCUACUCAGGAGACUGAGGCAGGAGAAUCGCUUGAACCCAAGAAGCAGAGGUUGCAGUGAGCCGAGAUAGUGCCACUGCACUCCCGCCUGGGUGACAGAGCGAGACUCUGUCUCAA